GAUGAACGCUGGCGGCGUGCUUAACACAUGCAAGUCGAACGGAGAGGCCCUGCUCUUGUGGGGUGCUCGAGUGGCGAACGGGUGAGUAACACGCGAGUAACCUGCCCCUGUCUUUGGGAUAACUUCAGGAAACUGGGGCUAAUACCGGAUAGGAGCUCCUGCUGCGUGGGGGGGGUUGGAAAGUUUCGGCGGUUGGGGAUGGACUCGCGGCUUAUCAGCUUGUUGGUGGGGUAGUGGCUUACGAAGGCUUUGACGGGUAGCCGGCCUGGGAGGGUGGACGGCGACCAUGGGACUGCGAGAGGGCGCAGAAGCGAACGGGAGGCAGCGGGGGGAAGUAUUGCACAGUGGGCGGAAGCCAGUGGCAGCGACGCCGCGUGCGGAAUGCCGGGUUUCGGGUUGUAAACCACUUUGGAAUGAGACGAAGCGUGAGUGACGGUAAUGGGUAAAGAAGCACCGGCUAACUACGUG
rnacentral:rRNA from 1 species